GGGACCGUGUUUUGGCCGAAAAUGGGCAAAUUUGCAAUAGACUAAAUUCAUUAAUUAUUUUUUUAAAAUUUAGUAAUUACUUCAUUUGUAAUUUAAUUUAACUUUUUAGGAAGUGCUAAUUUAUAGAAACUCAUUAUUCUCAACACCCAAUUAAAGUCUUAUUUGUCAAACAAAAUAUUUGCUUUAGUCUUGUAGUGGGCUAGUCGCUAGGUGGCCCAGGUGCUGUGCUGAGCUGAGCUGCUGAUGGCCACGUUUAACAUAGCGUCGUAGCGGCUGGUUAUAUCACGGCAGCCGAACGUGGCAGACCUUGCUUUUUGUAGGUGAAAUUCAAGGGAAGAACUGCAAAUGUUCGUCGCCGUCUUGUACGAACGAUGUGGUCUGGCGAACACCUUGCCAAGGUGACCAUGCAUUACCUUUGAAUGUAUUUAAGGGUAAGUUGCAAGUCGGUAGAUUUGCUCCGCAAUUUUCAGGAUACCAGCACCCUGCUUCGCGAGAACUACUCUACGUUGUUCUCGGGGACUUAGACGAACAUCUGAAUCCGAUUUUGAAGAAGUCUUGCAUCGAUGGACACUGACAAAAUAUAGGAAGAUUCGUAAUUAUAAAGAAUUGGGAAAGAAAAUUGACGGAGGCUCAGUGCCAAAAAAAUUAUGGUAGUUGGAAUGAUGACCGAAGCUCCUCGGAUUCGUUUAUUUCACGCGUUAUGGUACUUAAAGAAAAUAAAUGUGUACCUGGGCCCCUUUGUUUCUGUGACCCGAUUUCCUCUUCA